GAUGAACGCUAGCGGAAGGCUUAAUACAUGCAAGUCGAGCGGUAGGUGGCUUCGGCCAUUGAGAGCGGCGCACGGGUGAGUAACGCGUACAUGACCUGCCUGUCAGAAGGGGAUAGCCCUGGGAAACUGGGAUUAAUACCCUAUGGUAUUGAUAUUAUGAAUGAAAUCGGUUAAAGUUGAGGCGCGGAAAGAUGGAUGUGCGUCUGAUUAGAUAGUUGGCGGGGUAACGGCCCACCAAGUCUACGAUCAGUAGCGGAGGUGAGAGUAUGAUCAGCCACACGGGCACUGAGACACGGGCCCGACUCCUACGGGAGGCAGCAGUAAGGAAUAUUGGACAAUGGACGCAAGUCUGAUCCAGCCAUGCCGCGUGAAGGAUUAAGGUCCUCUGGAUUGUAAACUUCUUUUAUAAGGGACGAAAAAAGGUCUUUCUAGAUCGUCUGACGAUACCUUAUGAAUAAGCACCGGCUAACUCCGUGCCAGCAGCCGCCGUAACAC
rnacentral:rRNA from 1 species